CAGCGAUCAAACCGCCAGGCAGUAUGGACCUUCCUGAGCAUUAGUCUCUUCUUCUACUCUCAACGUUGUUCUCUUCUUUUUUUUUUUUCUGGCCACGGUGACGACAAUAAACAGAUAAAAUUAGAAAGCAGCAACAACUAUUCUACUCCUGGUUGAUUUAACGAUCUGGAGUGGAUUCGACUUCGAAGAUCUUCAGUUACCGAUGUCAAGAAGAACUUGAGAGAUACGAGAUUGUUAAGUUUCGGUGCAUAGUGUAGAAGACCAAGUUAAAAGUCCAAUUCAGUCUUUGGAACUACUUGCAAAUUGUCCUUCGUGAGUAAUUACUCAUAUCGGAGUGAAGAAAAAGCAAUGCAAUUGAAAGCUGAUUAAUGAAUCAUAGUUAACAGAUGUUUGCAAACAUCUAUCAGAAGGAGACUCGUUAUCAUUUGAAACUUCAAGAAAUGAAGCGUCGGAAAAAAGUAUCUUCAGUUAUAAAAAGAUUAAGAAGGAAUUGGGGAAAAUUAUUCAACACUUGAAGAUUACAUUACAAAAAAAUCUAUUAAGUCAAAAUCGCGCGAAUAUCCACGUGAGGAAAAAUAAUCGUACUCAAAGACAGGUGCGUGCAAAAUGACACUGAAGUGCAAUCGCAUAUAUAACUUGGGCGAAUGACACGAAAGUUUGUGCUGCACCGUGUUUAAACCACGUGAUACACUAAAUCGCAUAAGUCAUCUUCUUCAUUUCCAUUCACAAGCGUUCGCGAAAUUCCAUUCGCGAUCUGGAUGGUGUAUAAAAUCGAGAUAAAGUAAUCUUCAAGUUUCAAGUAUACUGCUUAUGAAGAUCGUAAGAACGUUAAAGGUGCAACGUAACAGUGACCACACUGCGAAAUUCAUGGUAUCGUGUUAACGUUGUCCAAUAACGAUAACAACGUAAAGAAGGGAACUGCAAAGAAGCGCUGCGAGUGCGAAAAGUGUAAAAAUGUAAAAAGUGGUAAAAGUGGAGUAAAACUGCACUACAUGCUAUUCGCAAGCAUAAGUUCCAAACGUAAAUGUAUCCACUACUCGUAUAUUGACGAACUUGUUACUUGGACGUGUAACCCGCCGACGGCACUUAUGAUCCGAGAUAUUCAGUACGAUCAGAUAAAAACAAGUGAGAUUCAAAGCCCGGAAAGAAGAUUGCAGUUACUCACAAUCAGUGGCACCGAUCGGUAAGAUGCUUGGUCUGUUAAGCCGUAAGCAAUAACGCAAUAUGUUUUAAGAAAACUUAAUAAAAAAAGUUUAUGAUAAAUA